GUCAGUAGAAGACUUCGGGACGAUGCUGUGCCAUCGCUACGACUUCCCAAGGAUUGCGAUGAUCCACCGUCAAAACGUCGUGCUGUUUCGCUCACAUCUCUGGAAACAGCAGAGUGCAAGUUACAACUGCAAGCACAGCACAAAAACCCCACGCCGUGCAAGUUGGUGACACAGGGAUCAAGCCUAAGCCAUAGACCACUGAUGCCAAAGCAAGUGCAGCCUUUGAUCAACCCGUCACUAUCCUCUGUACAAAUGCUCUCUGCAAUGCAAGCCAGUACAGUCAUGCACCGGAAUGAAGGUGCCACAACAUC